rnacentral:rRNA from 1 species
AGUUUGAUCCUGGCUCAGGAUGAACGCUAGCUACAGGCUUAACACAUGCAAGUCGAGGGGAAACGACAUUGAAAGCUUGCUUUCGAUGGGCGUCGACCGGCGCACGGGUGAGUAACGCGUAUCCAACCUGCCCAUCACUUGGGAAUAACCUUGCGAAAGUAAGACUAAUACCCAAUGACGUCUCUAGAAGACAUCUGAAAGAGAUUAAAGAUUUAUCGGUGAUGGAUGGGGAUGCAUCUGAUUAGCUUGUUGGCGGGGUAACGGCCCACCAAGGCUACGAUCAGUAGGGGUUCUGAGAGGAAGGUCCCCCACAUUGGAACUGAGACACGGUCCAAACUCCUACGGGAGGCAGCAGUGAGGAAUAUUGGUCAAUGGACGAGAGUCUGAACCAGCCAAGUAGCGUGCAGGAUGACGGCCCUAUGGGUUGUAAACUGCUUUUAUAAGGGAAUAAAGUGAGCCUCGUGAGGCUUUUUGCAUGUACCUUAUGAAUAAGGACCGGCUAAUUCCGUGCCAGCAGCCGCGGUAAUACGGAAGGUCCGGGCGUUAUCCGGAUUUAUUGGGUUUAAAGGGAGCGUAGGCCGGAGAUUAAGCGUGUUGUGAAAUGUAGAUGCUCAACAUCUGCACUGCAGCGCGAACUGGUUUCCUUGAGUACGCACAAAGUGGGCGGAAUUCGUGGUGUAGCGGUGAAAUGCUUAGAUAUCACGAAGAACUCCGAUUGCGAAGGCAGCUCACUGGAGCGCAACUGACGCUGAAGCUCGAAAGUGCGGGUAUCGAACAGGAUUAGAUACCCUGGUAGUCCGCACAGUAAACGAUGAAUACUCGCGGUUUGCGAUACAAUGUAAGCCGCCAAGCGAAAGCGUUAAGUAUUCCACCUGGGGAGUAAGCCGGCAACGGUGAAACUCAAAGGAAUUGACGGAAGGGCUUUUG